rnacentral:rRNA from 2 species
GGAAACGGGGUACUACUACCGGAUAACACUCCCACUCUCCUGAGUGGGGGUUAAAAGCUCCGGCGGUGAAGGAUGAGCCCGCGGCCUAUCAGCUUGUUGGUGAGGUAAUGGCUCACCAAGGCGACSACGGGUAGCCGGCCUGAGAGGGCGACCGGCCACACUGGGACUGAGACACGGCCCAGACUCCUACGGGAGGCAGCAGUGGGGAAUAUUGCACAAUGGGCGAAAGCCUGAUGCAGCGACGCCGCGUGAGGGAUGACGGCCUUCGGGUUGUAAACCUCUUUCAGCAGGGAAGAAGCGAAAGUGACGGUACCUGCAGAAGAAGCGCCGGCUAACUACGUGCCAGCAGCCGCGGUAAUACGUAGGGCGCAAGCGUUGUCCGGAAUUAUUGGGCGUAAAGAGCUCGUAGGCGGCUUGUCACGUCGGGUGUGAAAGCCCGGGGCUUAACCCCGGGUCUGCAUUCGAUACGGGCUAGCUAGAGUGUGGUAGGGGAGAUCGGAAUUCCUGGUGUAGCGGUGAAAUGCGCAGAUAUCAGGAGGAACACCGGUGGCGAUCGGCGGAUCUCUGGGCCAUUACUGACGCUGAGGAGCGAAGCGUGGGGAGCAAACAGA